AUUGAACGCUGGCGGCAUGCCUUACACAUGCAAGUCGAACGGCAGCGGACCUUCGGGUGCCGGCGAGUGGCGAACGGGUGAGUAAUAUAUCGGAACGUACCUUUCAGUGGGGAUAACGUAGCGAAAGUUACGCUAAUACCGCAUAUUCUGUGAGCAGGAAAGCAGGGGAGUCGCAAGACCUUGCGCUGAUUGAGCGGCCGAUAUCAGAUUAGCUAGUUGGUGAGGUAAAGGCUCACCAAGGCGACGAUCUGUAGCGGGUCUGAGAGGAUGAUCCGCCACACUGGAACUGAGACACGGUCCAGACUCCUACGGGAGGCAGCAGUGGGGAAUUUUGGACAAUGGGCGGCAAGCCUGAUCCAGCCAUGCCGCGUGAGUGAAGAA
rnacentral:rRNA from 1 species